rnacentral:rRNA from 1 species
AUGGUGAUCCACGCCGUGCUGCGCUCCGAAGACAUCCGCCUCUCCGUCAACGACGGCUAUAUCGGGGCCGACAACCUGCGAAGCCAGACCUAUGUGCCCAAGACCAAGACUACCACCGGAGUUGGAGUAGGCAAGCUUGCUGAAACUCAACGUCGUAGUGGUGACGGCAUCUCCACCGACAUCAUAGGUCGACAACCUCAAACCAGCGUCGUCUCUGACCGGGACGCCAACAUAGGUGCCGGUCUUGGCAUUGGUGGCUACGGCUACGGCGACGACGACUUCCAGGCAACCCCCAGGGUGGGGAAUAAUUACGGUAGUAAUGGUGCAACUCGGGUCGUUUACCAGCGGGCUAACACGACGAAUCUCCGGGUCAUCUUGAUCGCCAACAACCCCGGCGGCAGAACCAAGAUCGACUGCAACGACACCACCGUGAGCGUCAUCGACAUGCAGUCCCCAACCAGUUCAUACGAGAUCGGCACGCUGAAGCUGGACAACUUCACCGUGCCGCCGCAGACGACUAUCACGCUGCAGAAGCGGCUCAAGAUCACCGACCCGGCUAAGCUGAGCUACAUCUGGGACAACUACGGCGGGGAGGACAGCUUCAGCGUGGUGGUGCGGGUGAGCGCGAGCGUCACGUCCUAUCCGCUGGGGAAGAAGACGCAGACCGAGACGCGGACCUACAUUUGCCGGCUGGUCACCCUCGGUCUGAUAGACCACGAAACGUACCUUGCCGCCGCCGACAGAGACUGCAUCGCUGAGCCGCAAACGCUGGCAUCUGCACCGGCACCGGCACCGGUACCGGCGCGGUGA